rnacentral:rRNA from 1 species
UUCUACUGCCAUACCACCCUGAACUCAUUCGAUCUCGUCUGAUCUCGAAAGCUAAGCAGGGUCGGGCCUGGUUAGUACUUGGAUGGGAGAGCGCCCUGGAAUACCAGGUGCUGUAGGCU